GGGUUGUGAGGUUAAGCGACUAAGCGUACACGGUGGAUGCCCUGGCAGUCAGAGGCGAUGAAGGACGUGCUAAUCUGCGAAAAGCGUCGGUAAGGUGAUAUGA
rnacentral:rRNA from 2 species